rnacentral:rRNA from 1 species
UGGGGAAUAUUGGGGCAAUGGGGCGAAAGCCUGACCCAGCAACGCCGCGUGAAGGAAUAAGGCCCUAUGGGUCGUAAACUUCUUUUGUAUGUGAGCAAUAAGGUCCACGUGUGGUCCGAUGAGAGUAGUAUACGAAUAAGCAUCGGCUAACUCCGUGCCAGCAGCCGCGGUAAUACGGAGGAUGCAAGCGUUAUCCGGAUUCAUUGGGUUUAAAGGGUGCGUAGGCGGCUUGGUAAGUCAGCGGUGAAAUUCCAGUGCUCAACAUUGGCCGUGCCGUUGAUACUGCUGGGCUUGAAUGCGGAUGCCGUGGGAGGAAUGUGUGGUGUAGCGGUGAAAUGCAUAGAUAUCACACAGAACACCGAUUGCGAAGGCAUCUCACGAAUCCGCAAUUGACGC